rnacentral:rRNA from 1 species
UACGAAGGGGGCUAGCGUUGCUCGGAAUUACUGGGCGUAAAGGGCGCGUAGGCGGCUAGUUCAGUCGGGGGUGAAAGCCCGGGGCUCAACCUCGGAACUGCCUUCGAUACUGGCUAUCUUGAGUACGGGAGAGGUGUGUGGAACUCCGAGUGUAGAGGUGAAAUUCGUAGAUAUUCGGAAGAACACCAGUGGCGAAGGCGACACACUGGCCCGUUACUGACGCUGAGGCGCGAAAGCGUGGGGAGCAAACAGG